rnacentral:misc_RNA from 1 species
CUGCAAGAGAGAAAUCUGAGGGUUCUG